GAUGAACGCUGGCGGCGUGCUUAACACAUGCAAGUCGAACGGGAAUGCCACGCUGAUGCGAUUUCGGUCAAAUCAUGUGGCAUUCGAGUGGCGGACGGGUGAGUAACGCGUGGGUAACCUGCCUUACACAGGGGGAUAACACCUGGAAACAGGUGCUAAUACCGCAUAAGCGCACAGGGCCGCAUGGCCCGGUGUGAAAAACUCCGGGGGUGUAAGAUGGACCCGCGUCUGAUUAGCUUGUUGGCGGGGUAGGGGCCCACCAAGGCGACGAUCAGUAGCCGGCCUGAGAGGGUGGACGGCCACAUUGGGACUGAGACACGGCCCAA
rnacentral:rRNA from 1 species